GCAGUGGUGUUUCAGUGGUAAUAUUCUCACCUUCUAUGUGGGAGUCGUGGGUUCGGUUCCCAGCCAGUGCA
rnacentral:tRNA from 1 species